CGCUUUCGAAUUACGAUAAAAGAAAUAAGUUUUUCGGUUUAUGAACGUUUAUCACGCUUCUUGAGUAAAUUUUCUUUCGUAUAAUGGUUGGAAAAACUAAUGGAGAUGUGUUUUUUUUGCUUUCUGUUUGCAGGAACGUGGCGGUACGAAACGCCGAAAUAUGAAAAUAAACACGAUGAAAUUGAUCUUGGAAACGAGAAAGAGCUAAGGUUUAAAGGAUUCGGAUAUUGGGUUCAGAAAUAGAGGACCAAGUUGAUGAAACGACGCCGCGCCGAUUAGGACCUCGUGACUUGAGAAAAUGACCAUUAGUGUUGUAGCAGAAGAAAAAUUGACAAACUACGAUGAAAAUUUUCCUGAUCAUCGAGAUAAAGAACUCACCUCGUCCAUAACACAGCGAUUCGGUAGUAAAGAUCACCAAAAGCAGCACCACACUC